rnacentral:miRNA from 12 species
UGUGUGUGUGUGUGUGUGUGUUUAUGAAUUUGGGUUGGUAAGUAGUGUAUACACACACACACACACACACACACACACACAAACUUUCAC